AGGAGUUACCGGAAGCGGCAUUCGGAUGACGACGGGGACAGGAAGAGAUCGAGAGGAGGAAGAGGCGGCGACGACGAGGAGAAUGGCGAUGGGGAGAAGGACAGGCAUCGCCGCGAUAGAGAUAUAGAGGACCUUGAUAGGGGGAGGAGAGAUCGGGAUAAGGAGAGAAGGGAGAGGAGGGAUAAGGGACGAGAGGAGGAAAGGGAGAGGAGGGAGAGGAGCAGGAGUAAGAGUAAGAGCCGGCGGGAAAGAAGCAGGAGCAGGAGUAGAAGCAAGUCGAGGAGGGAGAGAAGCAGGAGUAGGUACAGUGAUAGGGAGAAGGAGGUACGAGAGAGGGAAAGGGAUGUUGAGCUUCGGGACAGCAGUAGCAGGUGCCACAAAAAUUUAUAUAUAUUCCUGUUGGGUUUCUUUGCAUAUUGUACUGGUUUUUGUUGGAAUCUGCUAGUUGAGGCUUUUUGGUUAGUGCAGAAGCUCUAGAGUUUCCAUGGUAGAUAGUUAUAGGAAGUUGUAGAUUUCACUGGUUCGCCAUAGCUUACUAGUAUAGCUUAGCUUGCUUGAGAACGUUUAGAGCAAAGUAGAUGUUACCCAUGUUAGAGUGAGUUCUACUUCAGACUGCUAAUAUAAUGUCAUGCAGUGGUAUCUGUUACUUCUUACUUGUGUUGCAUUACCUGUUCUUAGUUUUGUUCUUAUGUUGGAAGUUAUUUUCUGUGGCAGGAGGACUAAAGACAAGAAAGAAGGUAUGGAGCCUGAAGCUGAUCCUGAGAGGGAUCAGAGAACUGUAUUUGCCUAUCAGGUAGGGGCUUAAUCAACUACUGUAGCAUCGAUAGUAAUCACAUUGUAUUUUGCAUAUUUCUGAUCUUCCGAUGCUAUUAUUGAUUCUUUUAUGGGUUUUUCUUUCUUCUGAAGAUGCCUUUGAAGGCCACUGAGCGAGAUG
rnacentral:lncRNA from 1 species